UGCGUAGGCGGUUAUGUAAGUCGGGUGUGAAAGCCCCGGGCUCAACCUGGGAAUUGCAUUCGAGACUGCAUAGCUAGGGUGCGGAAGAGGGAAGCGGAAUUUCCGGUGUAGCGGUGAAAUGCGUAGAUAUCGGAAGGAACACCAGUGGCGAAAGCGGCUUCCUGGUCCAGCACCGACGUUCAGGCACGAAAGCGUGGGGAGCAAACAGGAUUAGAUACCCUGGUAGUCCACGCCAUAAACGAUGAGAACUAGACGUUGAGAGGGUAAGCCUCGCAGUGUCGUAGCUAACGCGCUAAGUUCUCCGCCUGGGGAGUACGGCCGCAAGGUUGAA
rnacentral:rRNA from 1 species